rnacentral:piRNA from 1 species
UGAACAUUUGGAACCAGAGGGAGGGCUCCA